rnacentral:lncRNA from 1 species
AAAACCAACUCGCAAGAAAAAUCCUGUGAGAAAAUUCUAUACUCGCGCAGGUGCUGGGCACUGUGUUCGUACCCAUGUGUGCACAAUGGCCGCAGGACGUCUGCUAGCAUGCACGUCCCCUCCCCACACACGCACGGGAUGGUUCCAAAAUGCCUCUUUUUUCGUGCCAAGAAUCUUUUUCUCCUCUCUCUUCACCGAGUUUCACCACUUGGCACGAAUCCAACGAUUUCAAAAUUUAUAAAUUGUCCUUUCGCUUUUCUUCCUCUCCACACUUCCAUUUAUUCCAUUUUUCAAGAUUUACGGAGAGAGAAAGAGAGAGAGAUAUAUAUGUAGUAAAAUAGUGAGAAAAGAAGAGAAAGAAGGGAAAAUAGUGAAGAAGAAAAUAUCAA